AAUUUUCAACGUUGUUUUGCUAGGUCUUAUUUGCCAAUACUGUACAGGCAAUGUUAUUAUAGUCGUUUAAAUAACUGCAUUCCUUCACUUUCAUCGUAAACAAAUUCUUUUUAAAAAAUUGAGGCAUUAACAUUUCAACAAUGAGACUAUACUUAGAGUAAGCAUAGGGAUAUGUAGGAAAAGGAUUGAACUUCGUCAAAAGUUUAGCGACUGUAAACAGCACGUCAAAAAUUAAAAGCUCAGCAACGGCAUCGCUGCUUCUCUUUUCCAAUCUUUUAACUCAGAAAGCGUAUAUAGUUUCGAUUGCACAACAGACGAAGCUGCCAGAUUAAAAACCUUACCUCGAUAAUCUCUGGACUCAUCUCAGCAGAGGUUCGGUGCAUUUAAUAAUUACAUUUUUUUUGGCUAAAGUAAGGUGCAGCGCGAAUAUGGAAUUAUUUUUUUAUGUUAAGUAUUUAUGUUUGUUCACAGCCAAGACACGAUCAUUGCCAGUAGCUCUUCUAGCUUCAAAAGAGGGAAAUAG